GUAAACAUGAGAAAUGCUUCCAGUGAUGAAUAUAAUCCUGAAAUAAUUAGAACCAGUUUAUACAUGUCUAAUUUGAAUGCCCCGACUACUGUCAUUUUAGAUGUUUAUUUCUAUCGAAUACAUGUAGAUUCUUUUUUACUACAGUUUAUGUUUAUGUGCAAUUCAGUUUAUUUUCAUUGCAUUCAGUAAUAUUGAUGCACUAGUCGACAAGCUUUAUCUAUAUAUAGGCAUCUAUUUUUCCGUAGAUAGACAUCGAGAAACAUCUAUAACAUCGUCCAAUUUUAAACACACAAGGAAGUAGUCAAUGGCACAGCGGAUAGCAGGCUCGACUACAACGUCAAAAUCAAAUACACAGACAGGGAAAAGACACCGAGGGUAUUACUUACUGGUGAAACAAUGCAAACACCUCAGAUGAAGGCUGGUGGAUGGAGCACAAUACAGUUUUUCCUUUGUCAGCCAUUUCUUUUAGAGUUUGCACUAUACUUUCUGCCAUAAAUGAGUCCAAGCCAGAGGUUGGUUCGUCACAGAAUAACAACGGCGGAUUUGUCAAGAUCUUUCGAUCUGUAUAAUAUCCAGACAGAAUUUAAGACAGAGAUCUGAUGUUAGUUGCUACGGUAUUGACAAUCGCCAAAUCACCUGUUCUCCUUACUCAAUUUUGCCCUUCUCUGGUUCUUGAUCUAAAGUAAUGUGUGACAAAUGCCGUAUUGCAUAAUGGGAACACGUCAUACUACGGGCAUAGCAAAGUUCCAUUUCCAGAGGAUAUGUAUCGCAAAGGAAAAUAUGCUGUCCAACCACGUUAGAGCCAAGUUUAGCAACUGGCAGGUUUAGUUACGGCACUGCAUUUUAAGUUUGAAAUACAUAAGUAAUGUAGGAUUGGUUGAUAAACUUUGAAGAAAGUCUGAUAUCACCGACUAACCGACUGUUCUAUCCUCUUUUAGAUAAUUUAUAUGAACUGUUAGUGUGUACGCUUGAGGAUUAAGACGAGAAUGUUUGUUCAUCUAGUAACACAUUCUAAAUCAAUGGUAAAACCUUCUCGUUCCAAAGACAGCGAUCAGAUUUUAAUCCCAAAUGGCUUUAUCAGUUUACUAAAUUAUGCAUGCUUUUAUUAUACACAUAUAAUUUAUAAAGUGUAUAUUACAAAGGGCAAUUAAAAUACUUGGCAGCAAUUGAAUUCAGUUUAUAUUAAACUGACAGGGUUGAAAGUCAUAGAUCUUAAUAUUCCAUUGUUACACAAAAAGAAAUGAUUGUAAUCUUAAUUAUAUCAAUCUGUAUUGUAUACUUUAUAUGACUGAUAUAUUGUUUCACAUGACAUCUUAAACUAUAUAAUAUUUAAUUUGUAUUGAAUAUAAAUAUCUGAUAAAAUGUAUACCCAAUCGACAGUUUGACAAAAUAUGAAAAAUGCAGAAUAAUGUGACAUUCAA